AGGAAGAAAACGAAUACAAUUGCAAAGGCAGUCAAUAUAUUGAAAAAUGUUGUAGACUAUAGAUAAUAUUGCACCCCCUUGUAUUGAGCCCUUCUGUAAAAGAGUGAGGAUUAGGAGUCUCUUCUCACAUCUUCUCUUUGGGUCAGGUUUGCUCUUUAAAGUUUGCAACUUUAUCUGCAUUGUUGUACAGAGAAUAAUUAAAAUUUCCUGCAAAUGUGUCAUUAGGAUUUACCCUCUGUGCUUGUGAAUUUGGACUGUUGAGCAUUGGCUCCUGUGGGUUUCUGAGGAUGUUUCCAAAGUUGGUAGCCUGAAUGCUUUAGAAAUGAUAACUUUCUCACUUGGACUACACUUUUUGGAAGUUGGUUCAAAGUCCUUAUUGUGCUUUCACAUGUUUUGCCUUGGAAGGGGUAUUGAGAAAACGAUUCUAAUCUCCUUCGAACAUCUUUUCUGCCUAAAAAAUUACCAAAACAAAAAGUUCAAAGUAGUCUCAGUUCAAAAUUUUGACUUUGAAUUUCUUUAAAAAUAUUUUUUUCUCUCUUCCUAACAAUGUUUCUUUUCUACAGGAAAAAAUUGAAGUGGAAAGUGGAACUGAAGAGGAAAAUGGUUUUGAUGAUUAUUCAAUUCUGUUAUCUCUCUGGAGAACCAGGAAAACAUUAAUGAGGAAGAAAAUAUCACCAUAAAGGAAAACAUGACUAAAAAGGAAAACAUUUAUGAUGCUUCGACUCUACUAUCUUCCUGGACAAACAGAGAAACUGAAUUCAGGAAACAAGAACUGACAAGAAAAAUCAUUUUGCAAGAGCAAACGCAGGCAUUCCUCACGGACAUCAAAGAGUUGUAUGCCGUGGAAAGUGAUGAACAUUCGGAAGAGGAAAACAUCCUUGAAAUGGAAAGAAUGAUUGAAAAUGAAACCGCUCUUAAUGAGGAAAACAUCACAGAAACAAAAACCACCACUGGGAAGAAAUCUAUUCGUUAUACUGGUUGGACCCUGGCCCGUCUCUGGACAAUCAGACAAAAUGAAAUAAAAAAACAAGAAAUGGCAAGAAAAGCAGCUCUGGAAGAGAAAGCUGAGAAUUACAUCAAAGUAAUCAAAGAGAUAUAUGCAAUGGUGAGAGGGUCCGAUUCAUAGGUUCUUUCCUUUUUUAUGAAUAUUUAUUUUUCCCAAUUAUAUGUGAAAACAAUUUUCAACAUUCAUAUUUUAUUUUUUAAUUUUGAGUUUCCAAUUCUCUCCCACCCUUUCUUACCUCCCCCCUCCUGAGACACUAGGCAUUUUGAUAUUAUUUAUACACAUACAGCCAUGCAAAACAAUUCCAUAUUAUUCAUAUUGUGAAAGAAGACAUGUAACAAAAAAAAAUCAGCCAUGAAAAAUAGAGGAAAAUGGUAUGCUUUGAUUGCGUUCAGAGUCCAUCAGUUCUUUCUCUGGAAUUGGAUAGCAUUUUUCAUUCUGAAUCCUUUGGAAUUGUCUUGGGUCACUGUAUUGCUGAGAAUCCCUGUUAUUCAGAGCUGAUCAUUGUAUAAUAUUGCUGUUACUGGAUACAAUGUUCUCCUGGUUUUGCUCAGUCCACUUUGCAUCAGUCCAUGUAACUCUUUCCAGGGUUUUCUGAAAUCAUUUCUUGGUUUGUCUGUUUGUUUGUUUUUUGGUUAGGCAGUUGGGGUUAAGUGACUUGCCCAGAGUCGCGCAGCUAGUAAGUGUCAGUGUUUGGUCUGAGGCCAGAUUUGAACUCAGGUCCUCCUGACUUCAGGGCCAGUGCUCUAUCCACUGCACCACCUACCUGCCCCUGAAAUAAUUUUUGAAGCACAAUAGUAAUCCAUUACAAUUUUAUACCACAACUUGUUC
ensembl:lncRNA